UCGACAUCCAGUAACUGAUGGAAGCAGAUGCAGUGACCUACAGUGAAGCACUGGGCUGAGCUCCUGCACUUAAGUUGAAGAGAGGAAGGAAGGAUCAUAUGACUAAGGGGAGGGGUCAAGAACAUGAUGAGGAAAACCACAGAUACAGUUGCAGUAUGACCACUCACCUUCUACUCAUUUGCAAUUUCUUCUCUACCAUGAUGAACUGUAUCUCUUCUAAAUGUGAGCCAGAAUAAAUCCUUCCUUUGCCAAACUGCUUUGUCAGAUGUUUUAUAAUAGAAAAAAGUUUCUAUUGCCUCUGGCCAUUCAUGCCAUUGCUGCUGAAUUUGCUGUUCCAGUACUAAGAAAAGGAACUGAACUGAUAAUUUGUACAAUUGAUUGAUUAUGAAACUGAUGAAGCUUCUCAGUUUAAGGAGGUCCUGUGGGGAGCCACAGCCCCAAGAUGGC